rnacentral:rRNA from 1 species
UACGAAGGGGGCUAGCGUUGCUCGGAAUCACUGGGCGUAAAGCGCACGUAGGCGGAUUCUUUAAGUCGGUGGUGAAAGCCUGGAGCUCAACUCCAGAACUGCCUUCGAUACUGAGAGUCUUGAGUCCGGGAGAGGUGAGUGGAACUGCGAGUGUAGAGGUGAAAUUCGUAGAUAUUCGCAAGAACACCAGUGGCGAAGGCGGCUCACUGGCCCGGUACUGACGCUGAGGUGCGAAAGCGUGGGGAGCAAACAGG